CCUCCGAACAGGCAAAGUCAGCGAAAGCUGGCGGCGCAAAGUCAUGGGUCUAAAGUGAUCAGCACUAUAUAAUAUCUGCGAUCACCAUGACUGCCAGACUACCGAA
rnacentral:ncRNA from 1 species